rnacentral:rRNA from 1 species
UACGGGGGGAGCAAGCGUUGUUCGGAUUUACUGGGCGUAAAGGGCGCGUAGGCGGCCACCGCAAGUCGACUGUGAAAUCUCCGGGCUUAACCCGGAAAGGUCAGCCGAUACUGCGGGGCUAGAGUGCAGAAGGGGCAACUGGAAUUCUCGGUGUAGCGGUGAAAUGCGUAGAUAUCGGAAGGAACACCUGUGGCGAAAGCGGCUCACUGGACCAUUACUGACGCUGAGGCACGAAAGCUAGGGGAGCAAACAGG